GCUCUCAAGGAGCGCUGCAGCACCCGCCCGAUACGGGCCGGUGUCAGGCUUGAGUCACAGGCAUCGCACAGAUACCUGCCGGUUUCUCCGGCUUCCAACGGCGCUCACCAGCU
rnacentral:ncRNA from 2 species